rnacentral:sRNA from 1 species
UUUGGGUGACCUUGAAGCUUUUGAUGA